rnacentral:rRNA from 1 species
GCUACGCAGUGGCCUGCGGCCGGGGUAAGACGGGGGUGGCAAGCGUGGGCCGGAAUCACUGGGCGUAAAGCGCGCGCAGGCGGUUUCUAACGUCCGGGGUGAAAGCCCAGAGCUCAACUCUGGGACUGCCUUGGAUACGGGGAAACUUGAGGAUCGGAGAGGCAAGGGGAAUUCCACGUGUAGCGGUGAAAUGCGUAGAGAUGUGGAGGAACACCUGUGGCGAAGGCGCCUUGCUGGCCGAUUUCUGACGCUGAGGCGCGAAAGCGUGGGGAGCAAACAGGAUUAGAUACCCCUGUAGUC